rnacentral:tRNA from 1 species
UGGCCGUCUUGCGCACUGCGGCGGCGCCGCCGCUGACACCGGGCAGGUUGACGAGUGCGGCGUCGACCUCGCCGAGUUCGAUGCGCCGGCCGCCGACC